UACGUAGGGUCCGAGCGUUGUCCGGAAUUACUGGGCGUAAAGAGCUCGUAGGUGGUUUGUCGCGUUGUCCGUGAAAACUCACAGCUCAACUGUGGGCGUGCGGGCGAUACGGGCAGACUGGAGUACUGCAGGGGAGACUGGAAUUCCUGGUGUAGCGGUGAAAUGCGCAGAUAUCAGGAGGAACACCGAUGGCGAAGGCAGGUCUCUGGGCUGUAACUGACGCUGAGGAGCGAAGGCAUGGGGAGCGAACAGG
rnacentral:rRNA from 1 species